AUUUAAUCUUGACCAGAGAUGGCCAAAAUGUAGAUCCCAAGUUGUGGAGGAAUUACAACUCUCAUGAAACUAUGCCAACCUUUCUACAAAAGCUAGGGAGCUACACUUUUGCCAAUACUAGUCCAAACACAGACAAAAAAAAAGCAUCACUAGUGAAAGCUUGGUAGAAAUGCUAAGCAUAGAAGAAAUGUUUCCCGAUCGUAUCUAAUAAAUACAUUGAGAAAAAUGUUGUAUUUACUUAAGCUUACAUGCAUUGCUCAAAAUGUACAAAUGAAUAUCUAAUCAAAGUUUUAUUAAUACAUUUGAUUGUAAACCUACUACAUUACAAGCUGCGUGAACAAUGGGGCACCAGGCUAAAC